UGCGGGCAUAACCUGCCGGUGGUCUACUAAACUCUGUUUACUAUGUUAUUCUGAAUAAUAUAACUAAAUAAGUUAAAACUUUCAACAACGGAUCUCUUGGUUCUGGCAUCGAUGAAGAACGCAGCGAAAUGCGAUAAGUAAUGUGAAUUGCAGAAUUCAGUGAAUCAUCGAAUCUUUGAACGCACAUUGCGCCCAUUAGUAUUCUAGUGGGCAUGCCUGUUCGAGCGUCAUUUCAACCCUUAAGCCCUGUUGCUUAGCGUUGGGAGUCUACAGAUACCCUCUGUAGUUCCUUAAAGUUAGUGGCGGAGUCGGUUUCACACUCUAGACGUAKUAWAUUUUAUCUCGCCUAUAGAUGAGCCGGUCCCUUGCCGUAAAAACCCCUAAUUUCUAAAGGUUGACC
rnacentral:rRNA from 1 species